rnacentral:tRNA from 3 species
GGCGACGUAGCCAAGGGGUUAAGGCAGGGGACUGCAAAUCCCCGAUCGCGGGUUCGAAUCCCGCCGUCGCCUCCA